rnacentral:misc_RNA from 1 species
GAUGAAGAACGUAGCGAAAUGCGAUAAGUAAUGUGAAUUGCAGAAUUCAGUGAAUCAUCGAAUCUUUGAACGCACAUUGCGCCCCCUGGUAUUCCGGGGGGCAUGCCUGUCCGAGCGUCAUUACAACCCUCAAGCUCAGCUUGGUGUUGGGCCCCGCCGCCCCGGCGGGCCCUAAAGUCAGUGGCGGUGCCGUCCGGCUCCGAGCGUAGUAAUUCUUCUCGCUCUGGAGGUCCGGUCGUGUGCUCGCCAGCAACCCCCAAUUUUUUUCAGGUUGACCUCGGAUCAGGUAGGGAUACCCGCUGAACUUAAGCAUAUCAAUAAGCGAAGGA